rnacentral:misc_RNA from 1 species
GACACGCCUUGUGCAUCUCAUUCCACACAAGCUCAGGAAACGUACGUACCCGAUCAGGCCAUUCCGCACAGCCACGCCGGCCUCACCCGCUCCUUCUCACGAACACACACCUCGCCAUUCCCUGCAUCGACGACGUGCUCCAUGUACAUGGAUACGUCGUCCAGAUCCCUCGUCUUGUGCACACUAGUCCUCGCAGCCUGCCAUGGGCUCGCGGCCGCAGGCUGGUCUCAGGGCACCGCGACGUUCUACGGCGACGCCGACGGCUCCGGCACGAUGGGUGGCGCCUGCGGGUACGGCAACCUGUACAACGCGGGCUACGGCAUCAACAACGCGGCGCUGAGCCAGACCCUGUUCAACGACGGCGCGUCGUGCGGGCAGUGCUACCUCAUCACCUGCGACGCGUCACGGCCCGGCGGGCAGUACUGCAGGCCCGGCAGCAACUCCGUCACGGUGUCCGCCACCAACCUGUGCCCGCCCAACUACGGCCUCCCCGGCGGCGGGUGGUGCGGCCCGGGCCGGCCCCACUUCGACAUGUCGCAGCCGGCGUGGGAGCGCGUCGGCGUCGUGCAGGGCGGCAUCGUCCCCGUCCUGUACCAGCAGGUCGCGUGCGCCCGCCGGGGCGGCGUGCGCUUCGCCAUCGCCGGCUCCGCCUACUACCUGCUCGUCAACAUCCAGAACGUCGGCGGCAGCGGUUCGGUCAAGGCCGCCUCGGUCAAGGGCGACCGCACCGCGGGGUGGGUCCAGAUGUCCAGGAACUGGGGCGCCAACUGGCAGGCGCUGUCUGGCCUCGUCGGCCAGGGCCUCAGCUUCGCCGUCACCACCACCGGCGGCCAGUACCUUCAGUUCCUCUACGUCGUGCCCGGGUGGUGGCAGUUCGGCAUGACCUUCGCCACCAACCAAAAUUUCGCCUACUGAUAAAACAUGAGAAAAUGCACCGUGUGCAUUGCGUGCUCGUGAUUUUGACAGAGCUACGUACCUGCACUUGCCAUUGCAUCCUCGGUGACCACCUGAGAUCGAUGACUGGCCUUCUUCCCGACUGCAGGAGGUGCGCGCCAUGUAUAAUUUCGAAUUUCACCCUCUAUGUCGUACCAACUUCAUUUCUAAAUUAAUAUUGUAGCUUUUCAGUCUUAGAUCCUAUUUAUAUAUAAGU